UCCUACGGGGGCAGCAGUGAGGAAUAUUGGUCAAUGGGCGGGAGCCUGAACCAGCCAAGUCGCGUGAGGGAAGACGGUCCUAUGGAUUGUAAACCUCUUUAGGCGGGGAGCAAUGCCGGGCACGUGUGCCCGGAGGGAGAGUACCCGCAGAAUAAGCAUCGGCUAACUCCGUGCCAGCAGCCGCGGUAAUACGGCGGAUGCGAGCGUUAUCCGGAUUUAUUGGGUUUAAAGGGUGCGUAGGCGGAUUUUUAAGUCAGCGGUAAAAUGUCCGGGCUCAACCCGCGCCGGCCGUUGAAUCUGGGGGU
rnacentral:rRNA from 1 species